UGGCCGCAGACGAAGCACUCCCCAGCUCUGCCUGACCGGCUGUGAUCAUUCUGUUGUCCAUCGUUCCCCAUGAUCCUCCCUUCAAAGGCACAGGAUUCCUCAACGACUAAAGAAUGCAACUCGAUACGGGGUGCCAUGGUUUGUAAUGGUCAUACUAUUCAUAAUAAAGUCAAUCAAAGAUCACCUGGUCUUAAAUGGUUGUUUCAAUCUUACAUGUCAAUAUCGAAUUGUAUAUGUUUAUCAGAUAACAGUCUGAGCACCAGAUCAACAUGGUUUCAGGAAAAUUUCAAUCUUGGCAAUGACUACCCGUUCACCAACUCGGACUGACAACAUACAACGCACCAACCGAAUCUUAUGUCCCAAUCUGGCUGCUUUGGCGUAAAUGUCUGGAGU
rnacentral:lncRNA from 1 species